GAUGAACGCUGGCGGCGUGCUUAACACAUGCAAGUCGAACGGUAAGGCCCUUCGGGGUACACGAGUGGCGAACGGGUGAGUAACACGUGGGUGAUCUGCCCUGCACUUCGGGAUAAGCCUGGGAAACUGGGUCUAAUACCGGAUAGGACUCCGGACUGCAUGGUCUGGGGUGGAAAGCUUUUGCGGUGUGGGAUGGGCCCGCGGCCUAUCAGCUUGUUGGUGGGGUGAUGGCCUACCAAGGCGACGACGGGUAGCCGGCCUGAGAGGGGGACCGGCCACACUGGGACUGAGGUACGGCCCAGACUCCUACGGGAGGCAGCAGUGGGGAAUAUUGCACAAUGGGCGCAAGCCUGAUGCAGCGACGCCGCGUGAGGGAUGACGGCCAUCGGGUUGUAAACCUCUUUCAGCAUCGACGAAGCGAAAGUGACGGUAGGUGCAGAAGAAGGACCGGCCAACUACGUGCCAGCCGCCGCGGUAA
rnacentral:rRNA from 1 species